rnacentral:rRNA from 1 species
GACGAACGCUGGCGGCGUGCUUAACACAUGCAAGUCGAACGGAAAGGCCCUGCUUUUGUGGGGUGCUCGAGUGGCGAACGGGUGAGUAACACGUGAGUAACCUGCCCUUGACUUUGGGAUAACUUCAGGAAACUGGGGCUAAUACCGGAUAGGAGCUCCUGCUGCAUGGUGGGGGUUGGAAAGUUUCGGCGGUUGGGGAUGGACUCGCGGCUUAUCAGCUUGUUGGUGGGGUAGUGGCUUACCAAGGCUUUGACGGGCAGCCGGCCUGAGAGGGUGACCGGCCACAUUGGGACUGAGAUACGGCCCAGACUCCUACGGGAGGCAGCAGUGGGGAAUAUUGCACAAUGGGCGGAAGCCUGAUGCAGCAACGCCGCGUGCGGGAUGACGGCCUUCGGGUUGUAAACCGCUUUCGCCUGUGAUGAAGCGUGAGUGACGGUAAUGGGUAAAGAAGCACCGGCUAACUACGUG